rnacentral:siRNA from 1 species
AUUCCUCCGUAGCUCUGGUCCUGA